GAUGAAGAACGUAGCGAAAUGCGAUAAGUAAUGCGAAUUGCAGAAUCCGUGAGUCAUCGAAUCUUUGAACGCACAUUGCGCCCGCCAGCACUCUGGCGGGCAUGCCUGUUCGAGCGUCAUUUCAACCAUCAAGCCCCAGGCUUGCGUUGGAGCCCUGCGGCUGCCGCAGCCUCCUAAAAGCAGUGGCGGGCUCGCUAUCACACCGAGUGCAGUAGAUUACUCUUCGCUCAGGGCGUGCAGCGGGUUCCGGCCGUGAAACCCCCUACUUUUAAAGGUUGACCUCGGAUCAGGUAGGAAUACCCGCUGAACUUAAGCAUAUCAAUAAGCGGAGGA
rnacentral:misc_RNA from 1 species